rnacentral:rRNA from 1 species
UACAGAGGUCUCAAGCGUUGUUCGGAUUCAUUGGGCGUAAAGGGCGCGUAGGCGGGAUGGCAAGUCGGUCGUGAAAUCCCUCGGCUCAACCGAGGAACGUCGAUCGAUACUGCUGUUCUUGAGGAUUGCAGAGGAGACUGGAAUUCCCGGUGUAGCGGUGAAAUGUGUAGAGAUCGGGAGGAACACCGGUGGCGAAGGCGGGUCUCUGGGCAAUUCCUGACGCUGAGGCGCGAAAGCGUGGGGAGCAAACGGG